GUGGGGAAUAUUGGACAAUGGGCGAAAGUCUGAACCAGCCAUGCCGCGUGAAGGAUGAAGGCCCUCUGGGUUGUAAACUUUUUUUAUCUGGGACGAAAAAGGGUAUUCUUACUCACUUGACGGUACCAGAGGAAUAAGCACCGGCUAACUCCGUGCCAGCAGCCGCGGUAAUACGGAGGGUGCAAGCGUUAUCCGGAUUCACUGGGUUUAAAGGGUGCGUAGGUGGGUAUUUAAGUCAGUGGUGAAAUCUCCGAGCUUAACUCGGAAACUGCCAUUGAUACUAUUUACCUUGAAUGCCCUGGAGGUAAGCGGAAUAUGUCAUGUAGCGGUGAAAUGCUUAGAUAUGACAUAGAACACCAAUUGCGAAGGCAGCUUACUACGGGGUGAUUGACACUGAGGCACGAAAGCGUGGGGAGCAAACAGGAUUAGAAACCCCAGUAGUCC
rnacentral:rRNA from 1 species